rnacentral:rRNA from 1 species
AACGAACGCUGGCGGCAGGCCUAACACAUGCAAGUCGAGCGAGGACUUCGGUCCUAGCGGCGGACGGGUGAGUAACGCGUGGGAACGUGCCCUUUGCUUCGGAAUAGCCCUGGGAAACUGGGAGUAAUAUCGGAUGAGCCCUUUGGGGGAAAGAUUUAUCGGCGAAGGAUCGGCCCGCGUUGGAUUAGGUAGUUGGUGGGGUAAUGGCCUACCAAGCCGACGAUCCAUAGCUGGUUUGAGAGGAUGAUCAGCCACACUGGGACUGAGACACGGCCCAGACUCCUACGGGAGGCAGCAGUGGGGAAUCUUAGACAAUGGGGGAAACCCUGAUCUAGCCAUGCCGCGUGAGCGAUGAAGGCCUUAGGGUUGUAAAGCUCUUUCAGCUGGGAAGAUAAUGACGGUACCAGCAGAAGAAGCCCCGGCUAACUCCGUG